GUGAAUCAUCGAAUCUUUGAACGCAUAUUGCGCUCUUUGGUAUUCCGAAGAGCAUGCUUGUUUGAGUAUCAGUAAACACCUCAAAGCUUUUGGAUUUUUUUUUGAAAGCUUUGGACUUGAGCAAUCCCAACGCCAAUCUUUUUCAGAUCGGCGGCGGGUUGCUUGAAAUGCAGGUGCAGCUGGACUUUCUCCUGAGCUAAAAGCAUAUUCAUUUAGUCCCGUCAAACGGAUUAUUACUUUUGCUGCAGCUAACAUAAAGGGAGUUUGACCGUAUUGGCUGACUGAUGCAGGAUUUUACAAGGGUCGGCAACGAUUCUUGUUAAACUCGAUCUCAAAUCAAGUAAGACUACCCGCUGAACUUAAGCAUAUCAAUAAGCGGAGGA
rnacentral:misc_RNA from 1 species